UGCGCAGGCGGUUUUGUAAGUCAGAUGUGAAAGCCCCGGGCUCAACCUGGGAACUGCGUUUGAAACUACAAGGCUAGAGUGUAGCAGAGGGGGUAGAAUUCCACGUGUAGCAGUGAAAUGCGUAGAGAUGUGGAGGAAUACCAAUGGCGAAGGCAGCCCCCUGGGUUAACACUGACGCUCAUGCACGAAAGCGUGGGAGCAAACA
rnacentral:rRNA from 1 species